rnacentral:rRNA from 1 species
UGAGGAAUAUUGGUCAAUGGGCGCAGGCCUGAACCAGCCAAGUAGCGUGAAGGAUGACUGCCCUAUGGGUUGUAAACUUCUUUUAUAAAGGAAUAAAGUCGGGUAUGUAUACCCGUUUGCAUGUACUUUAUGAAUAAGGAUCGGCUAACUCCGUGCCAGCAGCCGCGGUAAUACGGAGGAUCCGAGCGUUAUCCGGAUUUAUUGGGUUUAAAGGGAGCGUAGAUGGAUGUUUAAGUCAGUUGUGAAAGUUUGCGGCUCAACCGUAAAAUUGCAGUUGAUACUGGAUAUCUUGAGUGCAGUUGAGGCAGGCGGAAUUCGUGGUGUAGCGGUGAAAUGCUUAGAUAUCACGAAGAACUCCGAUUGCGAAGGCAGCCUGCUAAGCUGCAACUGACAUUGAGGCUCGAAAGUGUGGGUAUCAAACAGGAUUAGAUACCCUGGUAGUCCACACGGUAAACGAUGGAUACUCGCUGUUGGCGAUAGACUGUCAGCGGCUUAGCGAAAGCGUUAAGUAUCCCACCUGGGGAGUACGCCGGCAACGGUGAAACUCAAAGGAAUUGACGGGGGCCCGCACAAGCGGAGGAACAUGUGGUUUAAUUCGAUGAUACGCGAGGAACCUUACCCGGGCUUGAAUUGCAGACGAAUUGCUUGGAAACAGGCAAGCCGCAAGGCGUCUGUGAAGGUGCUGCAUGGUUGUCGUCAGCUCGUGCCGUGAGGUGUCGGCUUAAGUGCCAUAACGAGCGCAACCCUCGUGUCCAGUUACUAGCAGGUUAUGCUGAGGACUCUGGACAGACUGCCAUCGUAAGAUGUGAGGAAGGUGGGGAUGACGUCAAAUCAGCACGGCCCUUACGUCCGGGGCUACACACGUGUUACAAUGGGGGGUACAGCGGGCAGCUACCGGGCGACCGGAUGCCAAUCCCGAAAGCCUCUCUCAGUUCGGACUGGAGUCUGCAACCCGACUCCACGAAGCUGGAUUCGCUAGUAAUCGCGCAUCAGCCACGGCGCGGUGAAUACGUUCCC